rnacentral:piRNA from 1 species
UGGCUCCUUUACAGAUGAGAACACAGGUCC